rnacentral:rRNA from 1 species
GAGUUUGUAUCAUGGCUCAGGAGUGAACGCUAGCUACAGGCUUAACACAUGCAAGUACGAGGGGAACGGACAUCGAAAGGCUUGCUUUUGUAGUGGGCGUCGGACCGGCGGCACGGGUGGAGUAACGGCGUAUCCAACCUGCCCACCACGUUGGGGAGUAACCUUGCGAAGUAAAGCUAACUACCAAUGACGUCUCUAGGAAGACAAUCGUGAAGGAGAAUUAAAGAGUUUAUCGGUAGGAUGGAGUGGGGUAUGCGUUCGUNUAGUUAGUCUUGGUUGGGUACGGGGGUAACCGGGACCAACCGACGGG